rnacentral:rRNA from 1 species
CCCCAGUAACGGCGAGUGAAGCGGCAACAGCUCAAAUUUGAAAUCUGGCCCCCCCCCCCGGGGGGCCCGAGUUGUAAUUUGCAGAGGAUGCUUUGGGCGAGGCGCCUUCCGAGUUCCCUGGAACGGGACGCCACAAAGGGUGAGAGCCCCGUCUGGUCGGACGCCGAGCCUCUGUAAAGCUCCUUCGACGAGUCGAGUAGUUUGGGAAUGCUGCUCAAAAUGGGAGGUAUAUGUCUUCUAAAGCUAAAUACCGGCCAGAGACCGAUGGCGCACAAGUAGAGUGAUCGAAAGAUGAAAAGCACCUUGAAAAGGGGGUUAAACAGUACGUGAAAUUGUUGAAAGGGAAGCGCUCGUGACCAGACUUGGGGCGGGCGGAUCAGCCGGCGUUCUCGCCGGCGCACUCCGCCCGUCCCAGGCCAGCAUCAUUUCGCGCCGGGGGACAAAGGCGGCGGGAACGUGGCUCCCCAGGGAGUGUUAUAGCCCGCCGCGCCAUGCCCCGGGGGCGGACUGAGGGCCGCGCAUCACUGCAAGGAUGCUGGCGUAAUGGUCACCAGCGACCCGUCUUGAAACACGGGCCAAGGAGUCGUCCUCGUAUGCGAGUGUUCGGGUGUCAAACCCCUACGCGGAAUGAAAGUGAACGUGGGUGAGAGCUUCGGCGCAUCAUCGACCGAUCCUGAUGUUCUCGGAUGGAUUUGAGUAGGAGCAUACGGGGCCGGACCCGAAAGAAGGUGAACUAUGCCUGUGUAGGGUGAAGCCAGAGGAAACUCUGGUGGAGGCUCGCAGCGGUUCUGACGUGCAAAUCGAUCGUCAAACAUGGGCAUGGGGGCGAAAGACU